GCCCUAAGGUUUCCUGCGCAACGUUCAUCGGCGCAGGGUGAGUCCGGCCCCUAAGGCGAGGCCGAAAGGCGUAGUCGAGUGGGAAACGGGUCAAUAUUCCCGUACCGAUCUGUAAUGCGAGUGGGGGGACGGAGAAGGUUAGCUCAGCCAACUGUUGGAAUAGUUGGUUUAAGCGUGUAGUCGUGCUGCCUAGGCAAAUCCGGGUGGCUUAGACGAGGCGUGAUGACGAGGAUCUUCGGAUCUGAAGUGAGUGAUACCCUGCUUCCAGGAAAAGCCUCUAAGCUUCAGUUACAGAUUGACCGUACCGCAAACCGACACAGGUGGGCAGGAUGAAAAUUCUAAGGCGCUUGAGAGAACUCAGGAGAAGGAACUCGGCAAAUUGAUACCGUAACUUCGGGAGAAGGUAUGCCUCGGUAGCGUGAAGCCCCUGCGGGUGGAGCGUGAUGAGGUCGCAGAGAAUCGGUGGCUGCAACUGUUUAAUAAAAACACAG
rnacentral:rRNA from 1 species